rnacentral:lncRNA from 1 species
GGGCAGAGAGGCUGGAAACGGCAGAGGAGGAAAAGAAGAAAGAAAAGAAAAGAAAAAGAAGAAGAAAAAGAAGAGGAGAAAAAGGAAGGAAAAUAGAUAGUUCAAGCUUAUUUCCAUUCUCCUUUCUCUAUAUUUUCUUCAAGAGGUAAAUGAAUGAUUUUAUGUUAAAUUUUUAGGGUUUUAACUUGUGGUAUAAAUUUCAGAUUUAAGAGGCUAAGAGUACAAAUUGGAGCUCAAGUUUGUUGAUUCUUUAAUCUCCAAUUUCAUUAAGGUAAGAAUACUAAUUUUUGGCAAACCCUAGAUUUUAAAUUGGAU